UACGUAGGGAGCAAGCGUUGUCCGGAAUCAUUGGGCGUAAAGCGCGCGUAGGUGGCCUCAUAAGUCCGCUGUGAAAGUCAAAGGCUCAACCUUUGAAAGCCGGUGGAUACUGUGGGGCUAGAGUACGGAAGAGGCGAGUGGAAUUCCUGGUGUAGCGGUGGAAUGCGCAGAUAUCAGGAGGAACACCAAUGGCGAAGGCAGCUCGCUGGGACGUGACUGACGCUGAGACGCGAAAGCGUGGGGAGCAAACAGG
rnacentral:rRNA from 1 species